CCCCGUAACUUCGGGAGAAGGGGGGCCUCCGCUGGUGAUCAGACUUGCUUUGUGAGCUGGUGGGGGUCGCAGAGGCCAGGGGGAAGCGACUGUUUACUAAAAACACAGGUCCGUGCGAAGUCGUAAGACGAUGUAUACGGACUGACGCCUGCCCGGUGCUGGAACGUUAAGGGGACCGGUUAGCGCAUUUCGGUGUGCGAGGCUGAGAACUUAAGCGCCAGUAAACGGCGGUGGUAACUAUAACCAUCCUAAGGUAGCGAAAUUCCUUGUCGGGUAAGUUCCGACCUGCACGAAUGGCGUAACGACUUCCCCGCUGUCUCAACCGCAGACCCGGCGUAAUUGCACUACGAGUAAAGAUGCUCGUUACGCGCAGCAGGACGGAAAGACCCCGGGACCUUCACUACAGCUUGACAUUGGCGUUUGGAACGUCUUGUGUAGGAUAGGUGGGAGACUGUGAAGCUGUCACGCUAGUGGCGGUGGAGUCAUUGGUGAAAUACCACUCUGGUCGUUUUGAACGUCUAACUUCGGUCCGUGAUCCGGAUCAGGGACAGUGUCUGGUGGGUAGUUUAACUGGGGCGGUUGCCUCCUAGAGUAACGGAGGCGCCCAAAGGUUCCCUCAGCCUGGUUGGUAAUCAGGUGUCGAGUGUAAGUGCACAAGGGAGCUUGACUGUGAGACCGACGGGUCGAGCAGGAGCGAAAGCUGGGACUAGUGAUCCGGCGGUGGCAUGUGGAAGCGCCGUCGCUCAACGGCUAAAAGGUACCCCGGGGAUAACAGGCUGAUCUUCCCCAAGAGUCCAUAUCGACGGGAUGGUUUGGCACCUCGAUGUCGGCUCGUCGCAUCCUGGGGCUGGAGUAGGUCCCAAGGGUUGGGCUGUUCGCCCAUUAAAGCGGUACGCGAGCUGGGUUUAGAACGUCGCGAGACAGUUCGGUCCCUAUCCGCUGCGCGCGCAGGAGACUUGAAAGGAGCUGUCCCUAGUACGAGAGGACCGGGACGGACGAACCUCUGGUGUGCCAGUUGUUCCGCCAGGAGCAUGGCUGGUUGGCUACGUUCGGAAGGGAUAACCGCUGAAAGCAUCUAAGCGGGAAGCUCGCCUUGAGAUGAGGUCUCCCACCACGAAAGUGGGUAAGGCCCCCGGGAGACGACCGGGUUGAUAGGCCGGAGGUGGAAGCAUGGUAACGUGUGGAGCUGACCGGUACUAAUAGGCCGAGGACUUGACCAC
rnacentral:rRNA from 1 species